rfam:Globodera pallida, Lindley, WGS project CBXT01000000 data, contig: pathogens_Gpal_scaffold_193_contig_19
CAAACGGCCCUCUUUAGGGCCACAAAUGUGCAGAUAGACGAAAGCG